rnacentral:rRNA from 1 species
GAUGAACGCUGGCGGCGUGCCUAAUACAUGCAAGUCGAGCGAACAGAUGAGGAGCUUGCUCCUCUGACGUUAGCGGCGGACGGGUGAGUAACACGUGGAUAACCUACCUAUAAGACUGGGAUAACUUCGGGAAACCGGAGCUAAUACCGGAUAAUAUAUUGAACCGCAUGGUUCAAUAGUGAAAGACGGUUUUGCUGUCACUUAUAGCUGGAUCCGCGCCGCAUUAGCUAGUUGGUAAGGUAACGGCUUACCAAGGCAACGAUGCGUAGCCGACCUGAGAGGGUGAUCGGCCACACGGGAACUGAGACACGGUCCAGACGCCUAAGGGAGGCAGCAGUAGGGAAUCUUCCGCAAUGGGCGAAAGCCUGACGGAGCAACGCCGCGUGAGUGAUGAAGGUCUUCGGAUCGUAAAACUCUGUUAUUAGGGAAGAACAAAUGUGUAAGUAACUAUGCACGUCUUGACGGUACCUAAUCAGAAAGCCACGGCUAACUACGUG